rnacentral:rRNA from 1 species
AUUGAACGCUGGCGGCAGGCUUAACACAUGCAAGUCGAGCGGAGAUGAGGUGCUUGCACCUUAUCUUAGCGGCGGACGGGUGAGUAAUGCUUAGGAAUCUGCCUAGUAGUGGGGGACAACAUUCCGAAAGGAAUGCUAAUACCGCAUACGUCCUACGGGAGAAAGCAGGGGAUCUUCGGACCUUGCGCUAAUAGAUGAGCCUAAGUCGGAUUAGCUAGUUGGUGGGGUAAAGGCCUACCAAGGCGACGAUCUGUAGCGGGUCUGAGAGGAUGAUCCGCCACACUGGGACUGAGACACGGCCCAGACUCCUACGGGAGGCAGCAGUGGGGAAUAUUGGACAAUGGGGGGGAACCCUGAUCCAGCCAUGCCGCGUGUGUGAAGAAGGCCUUAUGGUUGUAAAGCACUUUAAGCGAGGAGGAGGCUACUGAGACUAAUACACUUGGAUAGUGGACGUUACUCGCAGAAUAAGCACCGGCUAACUCUGUGCCAGCCGCCGCCGUAA